CCAGCCCUCAGCCUUGGCCCCGCCCCAGGCUUAGCUACUCUCUGACCCGCCUCUGUCGCAGCGAGAGCUGAGCCUCCCUUCCCGCCUUGGCGCACACAGUGGGCACUUAAUGAGUAUUUGUUGAAUGAAUUUGUGAGAGGAAUGAAGUAACGACAGUGACCAUCCUUCCAGAGUGCUCCUUUGCCAAAUAGUAGAAAGUCCGCAGCAUCCUGGCCAAGUUCCUGCUAUGUGAGAAGAAUAAGGCAAACUUGAAAGGACAAAUGACCGGGCAAGGUUCUUAAAGCUAAGGGAACAUAGGAGUCACCUGAGAAGAAUUUUCAACGCACUCAAGGUCAGCUUCUGCCUGGGCCACCUGGGUCCUCUGGAGAUUCUCAUUCUGCCAUCUGCAGGAGGACCCA